rfam:Pteropus alecto contig26304, whole genome shotgun sequence.
GGUUCCACUGUGUAGCGGUGAGCGCGUCUGCUUUACACGCAGAAGGUCCUGGGUUCGCGCCCCAGUGGAGCCA